rnacentral:rRNA from 1 species
AGGGUUUGAUUAUGGCUCAGGAUGAACGCUGGCGGCGUGCUUAACACAUGCAAGUCGAACGAAGCACCUUAUUCUGAUUUCUUCGGAAUGAAAAAUUUGGUGACUGAGUGGCGGACGGGUGAGUAACGCGUGGGUAACCUGCCUCAUACAGGGGGAUAACAGUUAGAAAUGACUGCUAAUACCGCAUAAGACCACAGCACCGCAUGGUGCAGGGGUAAAAACUCCGGUGGUAUGAGAUGGACCCGCGUCUGAUUAGGUAGUUGGUGGGGUAACGGCCUACCAAGCCGACGAUCAGUAGCCGACCUGAGAGGGUGACCGGCCACAUUGGGACUGAGACACGGCCCAA